UUAAGUUAAAAGUAAACAUAUAUAUUAGGUGUAAAUUGAAUUUGUUAAAAAAUUUGCAUAAAGUACACAGCGAAAGCGGCAGUAAAAAAGCGCAUGCAAGCUCGCUCGAUCGAUUGAAUGGGAGCCAUGUGAGGACUUAGCUGAGCUGCUUGACAAAUUUACGUAUUUAAACUACAGCAACAACAACAACAACAACAGGAAAAG
rnacentral:sRNA from 1 species